GACGAACGCUGGCGGCGUGCUUAACACAUGCAAGUAGAACGCAGAACGACGAGAGCUUGCUUCUAUCUAUCUUACUGGCGGGCGGGUGAGUAACACGUAACCAACCUGGUCUCCGGGGGGGACCAUCAGUUGGGAAAGAUUGCUCAUCCUGCCAACAGUCUAAUCACGGUAUCUGGGUUGAAGGGGCAGUUGCCUCAACAUGUGAUGUAUCUGCGUAGGAUUAGCUAGUUGGUGAGGUAACGGCUCACCAAGGCGACGAUAAGUAGCCGACCUGAGAGGAUGAACGGCCACAUUGGGACUGAGACACGGCCCAGACUCCUACGGGAGGCAGCAGUAGGGAAUCUUCCGCAAUGGACGAAAGUCUGACGGAGCAACGCCGCGUGAGUGAUGACGGCCUUCGGGUUGUAAAGCUCUGUUAAACGGGAAGAAAGGGUUUCUUGCGAAUAGGUAGAAGCAUUGACGGUACCUGACUAGAAAGCCACGGCUAACUACGUG
rnacentral:rRNA from 1 species